UCGGUUGAUCCUGCCGGACCCGACUGCUAUCCGGGUAGGACUAAGCCAUGCAAGUUGAAUGGGAUACCUAAUUUUCCCAUAGCAUACUGCUCAGUAACACGUGAUCAACCUACCCUAUGGAGGAAAAUAACCUCGGGAAACUGAGGAUAAUAUUCCAUAAUUGAAAAUGCCUGGAAUGGUCUUUCAAUCAAAGAACAAACCAAAUGGGGUUUGUUUCACCAUAGGAUGGGAUCGCGCCCGAUUAUGGCUGUUGGUGAGGUAACGGCUCACCAAACCUACAAUCGGUAAGGGCCGUGAGAGCGGGAGCCCUGAGAUGGGUACUGAGACAAUGACCCAGGUCUUACGAGAUGCAGCAGGCGCGAAACCUUCACAAUGCACGAAAGUGUGAUGAGGUUACCCGGAGUGCCACAAAGUGGCUGUGGUAGGUGAGUAAGAUUCCCUACUAGGAAGGAGAGGGCAAGGCUGGUGCCAGCCGCCGCGGUAAAACCAGCUCUUCAAGUGGUCGGGAUGUUUAUUGGGCUUAAAGUGUCCGUAGCCGGUUUAGUAAGUUCCUGGUUAAAUCUGAUAGCUUAACUAUCUGUUCGCUAGGAAUACUACUAUACUAGGGGGCGGGAGAGGUCUGAGGUACUCCAGGGGUAGCGGUGAAAUGCUAUAAUCCUUGGGGGANCACCAGUGGCGAAGGNGUCAGACUGGAACGCGCCCGACGGUGAGGGACGAAAGCCAGGGGAGCGAACCGGAUUAGAUACCCGGGUAGUCCUGGCCCGUAAACNAUGCNUGCUAGGUGUUGGUAUGGCUAUGAGCCGUAUCAGUGCCGUAGGGAAANCCGUUAAGCNNNCCGCCNGGGGAGUACGGUC
rnacentral:rRNA from 1 species